GCGCGCCUGACGUCCAGUGCGCAGGCGCUUGCUUUGCCUUGGUCUAUAUAAGGAAGGUCGGCACCCAUGCUCGUUCUUUCGUUCCUGAGAUACUUCUUUAGUAUUGUUGUGCGUCAUGUCUCGUCCUUGUUGGAGUAAUGUUCAGAUGGUUGGCAUGGUUAAGCGGUGCAGAACAGGGGUUGGAGGGAGAGGAGACGUCACCUUUGGGCCUCCAGGGAGAUGAGACGACUCCAUCUAUGAUCUUCGACUUACUAGUUUCUUAAGGUUUGCUGGUGGCUGGUAGGCAUGGGAUGGAGGAUGAAUUCUGGAGCAGGAAAGGACUGGCCUGAGGUUGCCAUGGAUGCCAGUGUGUUCUGAUCUUCCUUGACUUCAAUGUCCUGAAACAGGUACUUCUAGAAAACAGAAAAACAGAUCAGCAGUUUCCGGCUGGCCCAGUCCCAUAAGGAUUUUAUACAUUUGGUCCCAAAGGCUGUGUGUGACCCGAAAAGGACUUUACUUUUUUAGGCUGGGAUGUGGCGUGGUAUGCACUGCUAUUGAAAAUACUGAAUGGUACAGACCUCUCUGUAGAAAUAAAAAUCUACCAGGUA